CAAAAAACAGUUUGAAACAACUCAAAACAUUUUUUUUUUUUUUUAGAUUCUUAAAAAUAGCCCCCUUUGCUUUGAUUACUGCUUUGUGGACUCUUGGUAUUCUCUCAAUAAGCUUCAUGAGGUGGUCGUCCUAAAAUGGUUUUCCAACAGUCUUGAAGGAAUUCCCAGGGAUGCUGGGCACUUGUUGGCCCUUUUGCCUUCACUCUGCAGUCCAUCUCAUCCCAAACCAUCUUGAUUGGGUUUAGGUCAGGUGACUGUGGAGGCCAGGCCAUCUAGCGCAGGACUCUAUCGCUGUCCUUCUUAGUCAUAUAGCUCUUACACGGCCUGGAGGUGUGUUUAGGGUCAUUGUGCUGUUUUAAAAAAUAAAUGAUGGUCCAACGAAAUAAAUGAUAGUCCAAACCAGAUGGGAUGGGAUGUCGCUGCAGGAUGCUGGUUCAGUGUGCCUUCAGUUUGGAAUAAAUCCCCAACAGUGUCACCAGCAAAGCACCCCCACACCAUCUCACCUCCUCCUCCGUGCUUCACGGUGGGAACCAUGCAUGUAGAGACCACCCAUUCACCUUUUCUGCAUUGCACAAAGACACCGCGGGUGUGUGAGGUAGUGUACAGCAAGUGGUAAGGAAAGUGAUAAGUAGACAGCAUCAGCAGACUGGUCAAAUUUCUUUUAAGUGUACUUUAUUUCCUGGCAUCUCUAUUCUACCAUCUUAAAACAACCCUGGUUGUCAAAAUCUCACUUGUUUUAUACAGAAUUUUUACACACACCUAAACCUCAUUAUUCUCUACACUUAAGAAAUAGGUUAGACCAAACAAUACAAUCUAAACAAAGAAACAAGAAUAAAAUUAUUCAUCCAAUUGACAAACUCAUUUACACAGCUAAGUGUUUUGAAAAGUAAAACACUACAUAAAGUACAACUCAAAAGGUUAAAGAAAAUAAACAAUACUAUACAAAAUGAAAGCUCUUCAUUUGGUUGUACCCAGAGAUGCAAUCAAUGACAUCAUCACCACCCUAUAUAAACAGGAAGUGCUGGGUCGGCCCCUCCCACACACCUGUUUUGGAUAUAGGAUGAGAACAAAGGGAAAACAGAGAGCUUUGUGGCACUGUGAGUUGGGAUGCUUAUUUACUUCUGUCAAGGUUAAUAAAUGAAGAAAUCAAGGGUCGUGGGGGGCUGGAGCCUAUCCGAGAGGCAGAGUACACCCCUGGACAGGUCGCCAGCCUGACGCAGGGCUAACACAGAGAGACAGACAACCUUUCACACUCACAUUCUCACCUAUGGACAAUUUAGAAUUACCAAUUAACCCAACCCCAUUAAUUGCACGUCUUUGGAUUGUGGGUGGAACUCACACAAGCGUGCCUGGGGGGGGGCAUAAAAACUACACACUCUUUUUCAGCUGUCCUGUUGUAGAUUUGCUGUUGCUGUGCUUGGGAUCAUUGUAAUGUUGCAUGAUCCAAGUUGGGACAAGCUUUAGCUGUUGGAUAAAUGGCCUUGCAGUACAUUUGAUUCUAGAAUACUUUGGUAUACAGAGGAGUUCAUGGUUGACUCAAAAACUGCAACGUGUUCAGUUUCUUUGGCUGCAAAACAAACCCACACCGUCAUGCCUCCACCCACAUGUUUGACCACUG